UGGGGAAUAUUGCACAAUGGGGGAAACCCUGAUGCAGCAACGCCGCGUGAGUGACGACGGUCUUCGGGUUGUAAAGCUCUGUCUUCAGGGACGAUAAUGACGGUACCUGAGAAGGAAGCCACGGCUAACUACGUGCCAGCAGCCGCGGUAAUACGUAGGUGGCAAGCGUUGUCCGGAUUUACUGGGCGUAAAGGGAGCGUAGGUGGAUAUUUAAGUGGGAUGUGAAAUACUCGGGCUUAACCUGGGUGCUGCAUUCCAAACUGGAUAGCUAGAGUGCAGGAGAGGAAAGUAGAAUUCCUAGUGUAGCGGUGAAAUGCGUAGAGAUUAGGAAGAAUACCAGUGGCGAAGGCGACUUUCUGGACUGUAACUGACACUGAGGCUCGAAAGCGUGGGGAGCAAACA
rnacentral:rRNA from 1 species